AUGGACAUUCAGGAGAAUCUUGAUCAGAUUUUGAGGCGUGUUCUUGUUAAGAGCUUGUUCGGAGUGGGAACACGGGUAGCUCUGGGAGCCCUGCUGACCAUUAUCUUCCCAUUCAGGUCUGUAUUGUGGAAGCUGCUCUCUAUUUUCUCAUGUAGAG
rnacentral:lncRNA from 1 species